rnacentral:rRNA from 1 species
GACGAACGCUGGCGGCGUGCUUAACACAUGCAAGUCGAACGGAAAGGCCUCUUUCGGGGGGUACUCGAGUGGCGAACGGGUGAGUAACACGUGAGUAACCUGCCCUUGACUUUGGGAUAACUUCAGGAAACUGGGGCUAAUACCGGAUAGGAGCUCCUGCUGCAUGGUGGGGGUUGGAAAGUUUCGGCGGUUGGGGAUGGACUCGCGGCUUAUCAGCUUGUUGGUGGGGUAGUGGCUUACCAAGGCUUUGACGGGUAGCCGGCCUGAGCGGGUGACCGGCCACAUUGGGACUGAGAUACGGCCCAGACUCCUACGGGAGGCAGCAGUGGGGAAUAUUGCACAAUGGGUGGGAGCCUGAUGCAGCAACGCCGUGUGCGGGAUGACGGCCUUCGGGUUGUAAACCGCUUUCGCUCAUGACGAAGCUUUGUGUGACGGUAGUGGGUAAAGAAGCACCGGCUAACUACGUG